rnacentral:piRNA from 1 species
UAAAGCAUUAAGGCCGGCGAAUGUCAGA